rnacentral:rRNA from 1 species
CAUGCAAGUCGAACGAGAGAAGAGAAGCUUGCUUUUCUGAUCUAGUGGCGGACGGGUGAGUAACACGUGAGCAAUCUGCCUUUCAGAGGGGGAUACCGAUUGGAAACGAUCGUUAAUACCGCAUAACAUAAUUGAACCGCAUGAUUUGAUUAUCAAAGAUUUAUCGCUGAAAGAUGAGCUCGCGUCUGAUUAGCUGGUUGGUAAGGUAACGGCUUACCAAGGCGACGAUCAGUAGCCGGACUGAGAGGUUGAUCGGCCACAUUGGGACUGAGACACGGCCCAGACUCCUACGGGAGGCAGCAGUGGGGAAUAUUGCACAAUGGAGGAAACUCUGAUGCAGCGAUGCCGCGUGAGGGAAGAAGGUUUUAGGAUUGUAAACCUCUGUCUUCAGGGACGAAAAAAUGACGGUACCUGAGGAGGAAGCUCCGGCUAACUACGUGCCAGCAGCCGCGGUAAUACGUAGGGAGCGAGCGUUGUCCGGAAUUACUGGGUGUAAAGGGAGCGUAGGCGGGAUCGCAAGUCAGAUGUGAAAACUAUGGGCUUAACCCAUAAACUGCAUUUGAAACUGUGGUUCUUGAGUGAAGUAGAGGUAAGCGGAAUUCCUAGUGUAGCGGUGAAAUGCGUAGAUAUUAGGAGGAACAUCAGUGGCGAAGGCGGCUUACUGGGCUUUAACUGACGCUGAGGCUCGAAAGCGUGGGGAGCAAACAGGAUUAGAUACCCUGGUAGUCCACGCCGUAAACGAUGAUUACUAGGUGUGGGGGGACUGACCCCUUCCGUGCCGCAGCAAACGCAAUAAGUAAUCCACCUGGGGAGUACGACCGCAAGGUUGAAACUCAAAGGAAUUGACGGGGGCCCGCACAAGCAGUGGAGUAUGUGGAUUAAUUCGAAGCAACGCGAAGAACCUUACCAGGUCUUGACAUCGUAUGCAUAGCUCAGAGAUGAGUG